rnacentral:rRNA from 1 species
UACGAAGGGUGCAAGCGUUACUCGGAAUCACUGGGCGUAAAGCGUGCGUAGGCGGUUCGUUAAGUCUGCUGUGAAAGCCCUGGGCUCAACCUGGGAACUGCAGUGGAUACUGGCGGACUAGAGUGUGAUAGAGGAUGGUGGAAUUCCCGGUGUAGCGGUGAAAUGCGUAGAGAUCGGGAGGAACACCAGUGGCGAAGGCGGCCAUCUGGAUCAACACUGACGCUGAGGCACGAAA